rnacentral:tRNA from 1 species
AAUUAUUUAACUUAUUUAAAGUAUAUGAUUUGAAAUCAGAAUAAAGAAUUAAUAUUCUAAUAAUUU